AACCCUUUAUUUAUACUGGGUAAUUCUAUAUCUCUAUAGAACUUACUAUGUUAAAACUAGUAACAAGAAGCUUAUCCUUCUCUUAAAUGCAAGUAUAUGUCAGGAAGGAUGAACCACUGAUUAUUAACAUAUUUGAUUAAAUCUAAUAGUAACACUUCAAGAAAAACCUAUUAACUUUUAUGUUAACCUAACACUAGAGCAUUUCAAGAAAGAUUAAAAGAAAAAGAAGGAACUCGGCAAAUAUCAACCUCGCCUGUUUACCAAAAACAUCGCCUCUUGAAUAAGAGGUCCAGCCUGCCCAGUGACUCAGUUUAACGGCCGCGGUAUCCUAACCGUGCAAAGGUAGCGUAAUCACUUGUUCUUUAAAUAAGGACUAGUAUGAAUGGCAUCACGAAGGUUGCACUGUCUCCUUUUUCUAAUCAGUGAAACUAAUCUUCCCGUGAAGAAGCGGGAAUAAACAUAUAAGACGAGAAGACCCUAUGGAGCUUUAAACUGAUUAUAAGUUUUCGGUUGGGGUGACCUCGGAGUAAAAAACAACCUCCGAGUAGUACGGGCUCCCUGAGCAAAAAGACUCGACUUUACGCACCAAAAAAUUGACUUCUAUUGACCCAAUAUUUUGAUUAACGAACUAAGUUACCCUAGGGAUAACAGCGCAAUCCACUUCAAGAGCUCCUAUCGACAAGUGGGUUUACGACCUCGAUGUUGGAUCAGGGUAUCCUAGUGGUGCAGCCGCUACUAAUGGUUCGUUUGUUCAACGAUUAAA
rnacentral:rRNA from 1 species